rnacentral:rRNA from 1 species
AGAGUUUGAUCCUGGCUCAGGAUGAACGCUGGCGGCAUGCCUAAUACAUGCAAGUCGAACGAGGGUCCUUCGGGACUCGAGUGGCGAACGGGUGAGUAACACGUAGGGAACCUGCCCGUGCGACCGGGAGAACUUUCGGAAACGGAAGCUGAUACCGGAUAGGGACAGAGACGGCAUCGACUCUGUGUUAAAGGAGCUGAAAGGCUCCGCGCACGGAUGGACCUGCGGUGCAUUAGCUGGUUGGUGAGGUAACGGCCCACCAAGGCGACGAUGCAUAGCCGGCCUGAGAGGGCGGACGGCCACACUGGGACUGAGACACGGCCCAGACUCCUACGGGAGGCAGCAGUAGGGAAUUUUCGUCAAUGGGCGCAAGCCUGAACGAGCAAUGCCGCGUGAACGAGGAAGGUCUUCGGAUCGUAAAGUUCUGUUGAAGGGGAAAAAGAGCGGAGAGAGGAAAUGCUUUCUGAUUGAUAUUACCCUUCGAGGAAGUCACGGCUAACUACGUGCCAGCAGCCGCGGUAAUACGUAGGUGGCGAGCGUUAUCCGGAAUGAUUGGGCGUAAAGGGUGCGUAGGCGGCCUGCUAAGUCUGGAGUGAAAGGUACCGGCUCAACCGGUACAGGCUCUGGAACCUGGCGGGCUAGAGAGCAGGAGAGGGCGGUGGAACUCCAUGUGUAGCGGUAAAAUGCGUAGAUAUAUGGAAGAACACCAGUGGCGAAGGCGGCCGCCUGGCCUGUUACUGACGCUGAGGCACGAAAGCGUGGGGAGCAAAUAGGAUUAGAUACCCUAGUAGUCCACGCCGUAAACGAUGAGGACCAAGUGUUGGGGAAGACCCAGUGCUGCAGUUAACGCAGUGAGUCCUCCGCCUGGGGAGUAUGCACGCAAGUGUGAAACUCAAAGGAAUUGACGGGGGCCCGCACAAGCGGUGGAGUAUGUGGUUUAAUUCGAAGCAACGCGAAGAACCUUACCAGGCCUUGACAUAGGGUGCGAAGCUAUGGAGACAUAGUGGAGGUAAACAUCCAUACAGGUGGUGCAUGGUUGUCGUCAGCUCGUGUCGUGAGAUGUUCAGUUAAGUCUGGCAACGAGCGCAACCCUCGUGAUGUGUUACCAAUAUCGAGUUAGGGACUCACAUCAGACUGCCGGUGAGAAACCGGAGGAAGGCGGGGAUGACGUCAAAUCAUCAUGCCCCUUAUGGCCUGGGCUACACACGUACUACAAUGGCGGCGACAGAGGGCAGCGAGCCUGCGAAGGCAAGCGAAUCCCCAAAAAGCCGUCCCAGUUCGGAUUGGAGUCUGCAACUCGACUCCAUGAAGCUGGAUUCGCUAGUAAUCGCGCAUCAGCCAUGGCGCGGUGAAUACGUUCCCGGGCCUUGUACUCACCGCCCGUCA